ACUGGGGGACCCAGAUACAGUAUUAAAUAUGUGUUGAGGUGGUCAGUAUGAUGCCUGUUGGACCCAGAUAGAGUAUUAAAUAUGUGUUGAGGUGGUCCUACUGGGGGACCCAGAUAUAGUAUUAAAUAUGUGUUGAGGUGGUCCUACUGGGGGACCCAGAUAGAGUAUUAAAUAUGUGUUGAGGUGGUCCUACUGGGGGACCCAGAUAGAGUAUUAAAUAUGUGUUGAGGUGGUCCUACUGGGGGACCCAGAUAUAGUAUUAAAUAUGUGUUGAGGUGGUCCUACUGGGGGACCCAGAUAGAGUAUUAAAUAUGUGUUGAGGUGGUCCUACUGGGGGACCCAGAUAGAGUAUUAAAUAUGUGUUGAGGUGGUCAGUAUGAUGCCUGUUGGACCCAGAUAGAGUAUUAAAUAUGUGUUGAGGUGGUCCUACUGGGGGACCCAGAUAGAGUAUUAAAUAUGUGUUGAGGUGGUCCUACUGGGGGACCCAGAUAGAGUAUUAAAUAUGUGUUGAGGUGGUCAGUAUGAUGCCUGUUGGACCCAGAUAUGGUAUUAAAUAUGUGUUGAGGUGGUCCUACUGGGGGACCCAGAUAGAGUAUUAAAUAUGUGUUGAGGUGGUCCUACUGGGGGACCCAGAUAUAGUAUUAAAUAUGUGUUGAGGUGGUCCUACUGGGGGACCCAGAUAGAGUAUUAAAUAUGUGUUGAGGUGGUCAGUAUGAUGCCUGUUGGACCCAGAUAGAGUAUUAAAUAUGUGUUGAGGUGGUCAGUAUGAUGCCUGUUGGACCCAGAUAGAGUAUUAAAUAUGUGUUGAGGUGGUCAGUAUGAUGCCUGUUGGACCCAGAUAGAGUAUUGGGAGAUGGUGAAUAUGUAUGGUCUCCCUUUACGGUCCACAAGCCACUAUGACAGAUGUGUUACCAGCCCCAUCUUCGUCUGUUGCCAUGCUUGGCAUAAAAAAAAAAGGACCGUGUUUUGUAAUGACUCUAAAACAAGAUGUGUAUUAGUAAGUAGUAAUGUAGUUUGUUGCUCAGUUUAAAUGUAUUGUGACCAGAUUUACUUUGAAAACAGAUACCGCGACAUU